rnacentral:rRNA from 1 species
UGAGGAAUAUUGGUCAAUGGGCGAGAGCCUGAACCAGCCAAGUAGCGUGCAGGAUGACGGCCCUAUGGGUUGUAAACUGCUUUUAUGUGGGGAUAAAGUGCGUGACGUGUCAUGCAUUGCAGGUACCACAUGAAUAAGGACCGGCUAAUUCCGUGCCAGCAGCCGCGGUAAUACGGAUGGUCCGGGCGUUAUCCGGAUUUAUUGGGUUUAAAGGGAGCGUAGGCUGUCUAUUAAGCGUGUUGUGAAAUUUACCGGCUCAACCGGUGGCUUGCAGCGCGAACUGGUCGACUUGAGUAUGCAGGAAGUAGGCGGAAUUCAUGGUGUAGCGGUGAAAUGCUUAGAUAUCAUGACGAACUCCGAUUGCGCAGGCAGCUUACUGUAGCAUAACUGACGCUGAUGCUCGAAAGUGCGGGUAUCAAACAGG